CCACAGAGGGCAAUGCCUGAGAAGGGACAGCAGCCUAGCCCCAUUCAGGGGCUGAUUUGAGCUCCUGUGACAUCACGCUCCCUCCAGUUAUCUUACAUGUCACAUCUCAAACAUUUAACAUCUUACAUCUCAAACAUUUCUUGAGGCCCUUACCCUCCCAUUCCCCCAAAUCAAUAUGGCACUUAGGGGACACCAAGGCACAGAGACACUUGCCCCAAAUCACGCAGUAAUGCCCUGGUGCUGCCGUGAACAGUGCUGGAGCUUCCUGACCCCUUGUCCAGGGGACCUGGCUGCCUUUUAUAGAAAGUUUCCACACACCUUCUAUUCCUAACCUCGAUCACAAGCAUCGCCGGCCCAGAUGCUCUGUGUCACCGGCUUAGUAACAUACCCCAUUUAGGAGCAUGAGCACAACUUGUUUGCAGUGGGAAUGAAUUAACUGAAUUCUAGAUAUUGUUCUUUGGCUGCCUUUUUUUGUUUGUUUUUAUUUCAAACACAGCUAACUAAUCAGGGCUGUGGACACCGAGAACGCCAACUUUGAUUCUUCAAGGAAAAUCAGCAGCUGACCACACACCACCCUUCCUGGUCCUCACCAAGAUGCCAAGAACAUCCAAAGUCUGCAGUUUUGAGGAAACUGAAGCUGAUCUGACACCACUUCCUUUUUCUCCAGAUGUUACCCUUCGGAUGGAUACCUCGAUCUGCCUGAAAAUCAUGGAAUUCUGGAGAUGGAAGGGACCUCAGAGAUUUUCUGGUUCUCUCUGUUCUGGUUAUGGUAAGCCUCUUGAAGACAGAAUCCAUGUUUGAUUCAACUUGGGUCCCCUCAGCCAUGCCUGAGCUCUGCACAUGCUCGUUCUCUCCAUUUAGAAAGAAGACAACAUAAGCAAAGGCUAAGCAUGAAUGCAUGGUGUGUGGUAAAGACUCAGUAAGCAGGACCCAGAAAAUAAAGUAAUGGGUGUGAGAUAAGCUGUGACUGAAAAAUUACUAUCCACCUGAGUUACUGGUGAAACAAAUUGCACAGGACAGCAAGAGAGAGAAGGGUUCCACAGAGCCGUCCCCACAAGUCACUGGCCCUGGGUGACAGGGAGAAGGCAACAGAGAGGCUGGUGAUCCCAGGUGAAUAGCAGGAUGUGGAAGAAUGACAUUUGCCUCUCCUUGGCUCUUCAAUGAGAUGACCCAGGGCAACUGGACACUGUGGCUGACUCUCCUGGUCACCGUGUGUAACAAAGGCACAGACACAGGACAGAGCAAAGCCAAUGCCUUCCCUGUACCUGGAACUUUAACCUACAAACAUGGAGACCCCUAGGGAAGAAAAGAGAAGUUCCACCCUCAAACUUUCAGCUCAAAGCCACCAAUCAUGGAUACCAUCACAUCUCAUAAAGACACAAUGAGAAAACAAGUUAAAGCCUAGAGAGUUCAAAUCAUCAUUAAGUGGAAUUCCCUCUGAGUGCACAGUUUUCAACAUACUGCUGAAUGAGAGGAUAAAGGCAUUAAGGAGGAACAGCCGCGCUUUUAUUGAACAGGACUGAAAGGGUGAAUUGGAGAGAGGUGAAGCUCAAGAGCAGGAGGUGGAAUGAAGUUACAGACACUGAGAAGAAACCUGUGAGACUCCUAGUGUGAAAGACCAAAAGGAAACUCUUGAUGAUGGAAGACAAAAUGCAGCCUGUGUGUAAGGGGAAGGCCAGUAGGAAGCAGGGAGAAUGUAAUUGUUGGGAAAUCAGUGGAGAUAUACUACAGCAUUCUCUCUCCCCACCGCCUGUCCAGUACACCAGGCACACUAAUCAGCAAUGUUCUCAUUCUCAGAGGCAGGACCUGCUGCUGUGACAAUUGAGGGCUGGGGUGAGGGUAUGCUGAUGAAGCUGUUGCCAUCCCCAAAGCCUCGUGCCACCUCUGAGCAUUCAGCGCCAUUCCCGUGAGCAGUGACAGGAAGAAGCAGCUAAAGCUAGCUGUUACCACCAGACUGCUAAUGAAAACCAGAAAGUCUGCAAACAAAACUGCCGGCUUCUCCAGAAUCGAACCAGAAUGGUAUAAAUUUGGAAAAGGAGCCCUUUCCACUGGGCACAGGUUUCCCCGCAGUGAGUCCCAUCAACCAAAAUGAGAUCUAUAAAUCCUGACAAUGUCUCUGCGAUUCUGCAUUUUUCUUCUUCUAAAUCAAUAAAUAAUUGAUUCUGUGUC